AGAGUUUGAUCAUGGCUCAGGAUGAACGCUAGCGACAGGCCUAACACAUGCAAGUCGAGGGGCAUCGGGGCGAGGAGCAAUCCUUGCCGCCGGCGACCGGCGCACGGGUGAGUAACGCGUAUGCGACCUGCCCGUUGCAGGGGGAUAAUCGGGAGAAAUCCCGUCUAAUACCGCGUAAUGCCGCGGGGCUGCAUGGCCCUGCGGCCAAAGGAAGCGAUUCCGGCAACGGAUGGGCAUGCGUGACAUUAGCUAGUUGGCGGGGCAACGGCCCACCAAGGCGACGAUGUCUAGGGGUUCUGAGAGGAAGGUCCCCCACACUGGUACUGAGACACGGACCAGACUCCUACGGGAGGCAGCAGUGAGGAAUAUUGGUCAAUGGGCGCGAGCCUGAACCAGCCAAGUCGCGUGAGGGAUGACGGCCCUACGGGUUGUAAACCUCUUUUGUCGGGGAGCAAAUUCCGCCACGCGUGGCGGGGUCGAGAGUACCCGAAAAAAAAGCAUCGGCUAACUCCG
rnacentral:rRNA from 1 species